UGGAGUCCCCUUUCUUCAGCUUAGUAUUAUAAAAUAUGGAUGGGCUGGGGAAUCCACUCCACUCUAUGUGUGCCAUGCACUUGCAAGCCUGUGAGGCAAAGCUAUCAUGUCCUGCCCUUGACACUGGGGUUGUCUCUUGCCAAUGUUAUUUUCCUGGUCAACACCCUGGACUGGCCGGAUUAGGAGAGGAAGCAGAACACCCACACUGCAGAGCAGAGCCUAGCAGCACCAAUAAAUGGGCCGCAUUGUUCACAGCCCAGAACAUCACUCAGAGUGGGAAGCCAAGGGAAAGUCUCAGCUUCAGCUCCAUCUCACAGCCUGCCCGGAUCACAGCUCCUGAGCACUUGCUGGACACUGACGGCCCACCUCAUCCCUCUUUCCUUUGUUCCUUUCCCCAAACACAUGGACUGGCUCCUGUUCCUGUUGCUCCCAGGAGUCCUCCUGGUUUUGUGUGAGUCUCAUUUAAUGGGGGAAAAUACUCUUUGCAGUUCUUGUGAUGAAUAUUUUGACAAGACCUGCAGAAAGAACAUGGGGGUCUGUCGACCCAGAUAUCCUGACCUUGCAUGCCAAACCAAAGAAGUAUAUUUUCAAACUCCAACUGGAGAAUAUCUGUAAAAAUACUCCACCUUGAGCUGCCCAAGAAGAUGUAUGGAGUAUGUGCACUUUGUCAAGAUGGAGAAAAAUAUCUUCUCUUGCUGCAACG